rnacentral:rRNA from 1 species
GAUGAACGCUGGCGGCGUGCCUAAUACAUGCAAGUCGAGCGAAUGGAUUGAGAGCUUGCUCUUAUGAAGUUGGCGGCGGACGGGUGAGUAACACGUGGGUAACCUGCCCAUAAGACUGGGAUAACUCCGGGAAACCGGGGCUAAUACCGGAUAACAUUUUGAACUGCAUGGUUCAAAAUUGAAAGGCGGCUUCGGCUGACACUUAUGGAUGGACCCGCGUCGCAUUAGCUAGUUGGGGAGGUAACGGCUCACCAAGGCAACGAUGCGUAGCCGACCUGAGAGGGUGAUCGGCCACACUGGGACUGAGACACGGCCCAGACUCCUACGGGAGGCAGCAGUAGGGAAUCUUCCGCAAUGGACGAAAGUCUGACGGAGCAACGCCGCGUGAGUGAUGAAGGCUUUCGGGUCGUAAAACUCUGUUGUUAGGGAAGAACAAGUGCUAGUUGAAUAAGCUGGCACCUUGACGGUACCUAACCAGAAAGCCACGGCUAACUACGUGCCAGCAGCCGCCGUAA